CUCUCUCUCUCUCUCUCUCAGUAACGCGAAUACACAAGUCCUAAUCUUUCUCUAGAAAGACUUAUUAUUCCUGAUCUUUUGCAUCUUCUUCAUUGUUACUCAAAACUUCAACUUCCAUCAUGAGUGAUCGCACACAAGCACCCCACCAUGUCCAGGUGCACACCACAACCCAACACUACGAAGCUGGUGUCGUUCCUGCACCUCGAUAUGAGCGUGCUGUUUUCCCCCCACAGUUUUAUGAAUCUGGAGGUAAGACUAGAUCUUACCCUGCCGAGAGAGUUCCCUCCGCCACCCAGAUCCUCUCUGUUGUCGUCGGCCUUCCGGUCGGCGGCCUCCUCCUUCUUCUGGCCGGACUUACUCUGGCAGGAACUCUAACUGGGCUGGCAGUGGCCAUCCCGCUUUUCAUUCUGUUCAGCCCAGUUCUGGUUCCAGCUACCGUGGUAAUCGGGCUGGCAGUGGCGGGGUUUCUGACGGCCGGAGCUUUUGAGCUGACGGCUGUGUCGUCGUUCUCGUGGAUCUUGAAUUACAUCCGGGAGAGCCAGGGGCCAGUGCCGGUGAACCUGGCGGUAGCGGCGAAGCAUCAGCUGGCGGAUGCUGCAGAAUACGUGGGGCAGAAGACAAAGGAAAUGGGGCAGAAGACAAAGGAAGUUGGGCAGGAUAUACAGAACAAGGCUCAGGAUGCAAAGGAAAAGAGUCUGAAGGAAGCAAAAGAUGCAAAGGAGAUGAAGAGAACAACCGUAACAGCAACAGCCGCAACAGACUGAGUAUUGUGAUAUGAUGCGGUUUAUGUCGGGAAAUAAUAAUGUACCUCUUGGUUUGCACUUGUGAGUGCUGUGUCUUUAGUUAUUGUAUGUAGGUCUGUGUUUUGUUGUCUGGCUUGGUUUGUAGUUUUUGUUGUCUAGCUUGGUUUGUAGAGGGAUGUACUUUGGUUCAUGCCAUAUAAAGGGGUACUACUAGUUACCACUCUGCUGUAUAUGGAUGCUGGAAAUGUGUUCUGUAGUUCUUCACUUUCACUGUUGAGUUCAAUGUGAAAUUUGUUUUGCCUUCGUUUUUGUAAUCACUUUCUUUCUUCUAGAACAACCAUAAUUUUAAACAGAUUUGUUAAUUUUUUAGCAUAAUAAAAAUCAAAGCACCAAGAGAUUUAACCUUAGAAAGUUUUCUUAACAGCAUGGC
rnacentral:lncRNA from 1 species